GACGAACGCUGGCGGCGUGCCUAACACAUGCAAGUCGAGCGGAGCGGCGGACGGGUGAGUAAUGCCUAGGAAUCUGCCUGGUAGUGGGGGAUAACGUCCGGAAACGGGCGCUAAUACCGCAUACUAUCAGAUGAGCCUAGGUCGGAUUAGCUAGUUGGUGGGGUAAAGGCCUACCAAGGCGACGAUCCGUAACUGGUCUGAGAGGAUGAUCAGUCACACUGGAACUGAGACACGGUCCAGACUCCUACGGGAGGCAGCAGUAGGGAAUCUUCGGCAAUGGACGAAAGUCUGACCGAGCAACGCCGCGUGAGUGAAGAAGGCCUUCGGGUUGUAAAGCACUUUUGGCAGGAAAGCGGUACCUGCAGAAUAAGCACCGGCUAACUACGUGCCAGCCGCCGCGGUAAUAC
rnacentral:rRNA from 1 species